GGGAAGUCCUCGUGUUGCACCCCUCCUUUUUGCCGCUUCUCCAUCCGGCCAGCCCCUCUGUCUUCCUUUCUUCUUUUUCUCUCCCCCGCCUCGCUUUCCUCCCCCGCUACCGAUAGGGCGGGGCUAGAGGCCGAAGGCUACUAGUCUUGUUCAGAAUGUCGUUUCGCUUCAAGAAACGAAAGGUCGACACCUAAUUCCACCAAGAAUUUGGAUUUGAACAGUAAAAGUCUACUUUUUAGAAGAAGAAGAAGAAGAAGAAGAAGAAGAAGAAGAAGAAGAAAGGAAGAAGACAAAAGAAACAACAAUCAAGGCGAAUAAAAAUCCGGGCGCGAUCCCACGGUCGGAUCGCGGGCUACGGCCCCUUUGAGCCGCCGCCCCUUUGCGGCGGCGGUGCCUGAACCGCCGGGGAUCCUCCUCUUCGAAGCGCUUAUAGCAAUUGCGCGUGCAUGGACUAACGGGUGCGAUCAUACCAGCAC
rnacentral:rRNA from 1 species